rnacentral:rRNA from 1 species
UUUUAUGGAGAGUUUGAUCCUGGCUCAGGAUGAACGCUGGCGGCGUGCCUAAUACAUGCAAGUCGAGCGAACGGACGAGAAGCUUGCUUCUCUGAUGUUAGCGGCGGACGGGUGAGUAACACGUGGAUAACCUACCUAUAAGACUGGGAUAACUUCGGGAAACCGGAGCUAAUACCGGAUAAUAUUUUGAACCGCAUGGUUCAAAAGUGAAAGACGGUCUUGCUGUCACUUAUAGAUGGAUCCGCGCUGCAUUAGCUAGUUGGUAAGGUAACGGCUUACCAAGGC